AAUAGAUACCCGGGUAGUCCACGCCGUAAACGAUGAGUGCUAAGUGUUAGAGGGUUUCCGCCCUUUAGUGCUGCAGCUAACGCAUUAAGCACUCCGCCUGGGGAGUACGGUCGCAAGACUGAAACUCAAAGGAAUUGACGGGGGCCCGCACAAGCGGUGGAGCAUGUGGUUUAAUUCGAAGCAACGCGAAGAACCUUACCAGGUCUUGACAUCCUCUGACAACUCUAGAGAUAGAGCGUUCCCCUUCGGGGGACAGAGUGACAGGUGGUGCAUGGUUGUCGUCAGCUCGUGUCGUGAGAUGUUGGGUUAAGUCCCGCAACGAGCGCAACCCUUGAUCUUAGUUGCCAGCAUUCAGUUGGGCACUCUAAGGUGACUGCCGGUGACGAACCGGAGGAAGGUGGGGAUGACGUCAAAUCAUCAUGCCCCUUACUGACCUGGGCUACACACGUGCUACAAUGGAUGGUACAAAGGGCUGCAAGACCGCGAGGUCAAGCCAAUCCCAUAAACCAUUCUCAGUUCGGAUUGU
rnacentral:rRNA from 1 species